CGCAUUCUUCAUCAUUAACAAUCAUCAACACGCAUCGUGUCGUGGAGAAGGCCUUCCCCAACGAACACGGGCAUCGCGCCGUGAAGGGGGCCUCCCUCAGCGGUCACGGCAUCGUACUAUUGAGGGAGGCCUCCCCCAAUAGACGUUGUAACACUGGCAUACUGGCAUACUGGCAUCGCGCCGCUAGGGAGGCCUCCCUCAGCGGACACGGGCAUCGCGCCGUGAGGAAGGCCCUCCUCAACGGACACGGCAUCGUACUGUUGAGGGAGGCCUCCCCCAACAGACGCAAGCAUCAAACAUAAGCAUAAACUUAUCAGCGUAAAGCAUUCAAGCGUAAAUAAGUGUAAUCAAGCGUAAAUUACAUAGGGCGUAAAUAGUAUAAACAGCAUAGCG
rnacentral:lncRNA from 1 species